GGGCCUAUAGCUCAGCUGGUAGAGCAUCGGACUUUUAAUCCGCUGGUCGCGGGUUCGAACCCCGCUGGGCCCACCA
rnacentral:tRNA from 1 species